UAGAAACAUCAGUUUCAAGCAGAGAAACAAAUUAGUCUUAUUUUAAUCGUCAGACAAAGUGUAAUUUGUUAAAAACUCUUAAAGGCACCUUGUUGUUUGGAUCCAGCGUGUAGCCCUGCUGCAAAACUGCUUCGAUUGAAAAACAAAAUAAAAGGGUUGUUAUGUUCAAAUUGUGUGCAAAAAUGUCCAUGUGUAGCUCCAACGUGUGGUUUGCCCGUUAUCCAACCGAUGCCACUUUGCGCAUGUCCAGCAAAAAAAUGUACUAUUAAAUGUACACCAGCAACACCAUCCCCAGCUCCAGGGUCACCUAUUUUUGAAUUUUUAGAAUGUAUUCCCGAAUAAAUUUUUUACUGAAA